AUAGUCCAGUAGGCCACAACCACUGAACACCCACCGGAUCUCUCUAUGUAGACGGAGACAUGGACAGCUAGACAGACAGAAGAACUGACACACAGAUUAUUUGAUAUGUUAUUCUGUCUAUUCUCCUACUGGUUGGUGUCCACUCUAGAAAAUCAGGAUAACUGAUUCCAGACAAGCAAAGCAUGUGAUGGUGUCCCAGUUGGGUUCAGAUGGCUCAGAAGAUGUAUUUGGUUCAAGAUUGGACGGGGAGUGGCAGACCUCCACUUUGGCCAGUGAGGCUCCAUCAUUUCUUUCCUAACGUCUUCUGAUUCGACUUUGAGACAACCCAGCACUCUGGAAUCUUUGCUGUGACUUCUCUAAUGUACAGAUGUUCUGUUCCAUCCUCUUAACGAGGCUUCAUGAUUUCUUUCCUAACGUCUUCUGAUUCGACUUUGAGACAACUCAGCACUCUGGAAUCUUUGCUGCAACUUCUCCAAUGAACAGAUGUUCCUUUCCAUCCUCUUAACAAGGUGUCCACCCUAGAAAAUCAGAACAAGUGGUUGCAGGCAAGCAAAGCAUAUGAUGGUGUCCCUGUGAUGUUCAGGUGGCUCAGAAGAUGUAUUUGGUUCAAGAUUGGAGGGGGAGUGGCAGACCUCUACUUUGGCCAGCGAGGGAUCUUAAGCUGUUGUCCUGACGUUUCCCAACAAGGAGCAUUUACUAAAGAAGAAUGGCAUUUCCUCGGGCAGGCUAUGAAACAAAGUGAGUCAAAAGGACACGGAAUGUUAGCCGCCAUUGAGAUCCCAUGCACUCUAGUGAGGAUACUGCACAAACUGUGGAGAGAUGAGCUGUUCCUCAGCUGCAGCCACCACCUUUCACUCCUUCUACUUAUUCUUCUUGCCCCUUUGAAUCAGAUGGCCAAAAAGAAACACCUCUUCCUUAAUGCUGCAGAUGCCAAGAACCAGCCCCAUGGCCUGGGGCAAACCUCCUGCCCAAACCCCUUGUUUCUGGGUCCUGUCCUAACUGCUGUCAAAUGAUAGCUAAACCGCAGCAUGGAGGCAUGAUGUCUUGCUGUCCUCCCAAGGAACAGCUUUUGCACCCAUGCUCUUCCACCUCAGCUGCCUCUUGACCACAUUCAUGAUGACUUUCCAAAUCAAUUAACUGUCUCUUUUAUUUUGAA